UAUUUAUUUAUUUAUUUAUUUUACCAUUGGUAUCAUUCCAGUAAUUUCUCAUUUUCUUCAGCUCCCAUGAUAGAUUCUUACUUAUAAACAGUGAACUUUUGCCAGCAAAAUUGUAAACAAUCUUACAUGUGGCUUAUCAACCUGCUGGAGAUUAAUUCUAUGUUUGUGCUUUCUUUACAGACCAAGACUAAGGAUACUGGGCGUGUAGUUACAUACAGUAACUAAUGCAUUUACACAGAUUUUCUCUGAAUACGUAAAUAAGUGUCACAAUUUAGAGAGAAAAGUGAUGACUUAAAAGACUUAAAAGGCAUGCUUUUCCUAUCCUACCCCAAAAACAGAGCUUGCAUUAACAGCAGAUUGAAUUAUUUUCCUGGGACUUGAAAUUAGUUAUGUAUGGCAAAACUUCUGGGCUAAAUUUUCUGUGUAGAUCUAGAUGCUCCUAAGACAUUCGUAUGCCACAGCCCUAUUGUGAAGUUAAUUCUGAAUAUUUUAGCCUUUGCCACGGUCAGACUGUAGUUAUAUCAACUUUUAAUACGCUAAUUUCAUUGCAGUGGUAUUUUAUUUUUUCUGGAAAGUUUCUAACGUAUUCUCCUUUCUUGUGUAGAGAUGCAUCAGCAUCAACAGAAAAUGGCUUGUUGUAACAAGAAACAUGAGAUAUCAGGAAGCUUAUUUGCCUAAGGCAGAGCAAGGGAGAAUGAGAGAAGGGGGAAAAGGAAAAUGAAAGGAACGUAAUUAUCUUCUCUGGAAAAAAUCUUACUAUGCAUUCCUGUGAUUCAUUUCAAUCUCUUCUUUUAUGCACACCAGCCCAAUGUGUGUACUAAUACAGUAUUCAAAUGCCAAUUUACCUCCCAGUGACAAAAUUUGGAGAAAAUUCAGUAUUAUGUGUCACCUACGUGAUGUGAAAAGAAGCAAUGCUUAAUCAAAACAGAAGUAACAGUAUUGCUGUCCUAGGUAUGGGCGAAGAUAUCUGAAUUUCUUUGUUUUUUUCAGUUCUGAUUUCAUGAACAAGCUGACAGAGUACUCAACAGCAUGAAUUUCUGGUGUGUAAAAUAGGAAGUGAAUUGCAAAUAUCUUAACACCGUGUUCCUUGUCAUAAAACCCAGAGGCUGAUAUCUGGUCCUACAUCCCCAACUUUUGCAACACCACUAUGCAUAGGUUUGGUGCAGCUGCUUCGGAAACCUGCUGCUAGGUACUUUCUGCAAAGUGUCACAGUAGUUCUGUUUCAUUGCUGCUGUGAUAAAAUCAGCCAGGUCCUCAUCUCUUCUCAUAGCAGCAGCUGGUCAGGUAAUCAAAAAUGUGAGAUCAAGAGAUAGAUAAAUGUUCUCAUGAUGUUUUUUCUUCUCCCUCCAGAUGUGAUUAUGCAGCAGAAUGUUACACUUGGUUAAAUGUGAGCUGCUGCAGGCAUUUGACUGUAGAGUUCAAAUUAACUGCAGCAGGCACUGGAGGUGGAUAGAGUAACAGACAUAUGCAGCUUGCUGUAUGUCUGAAGGGAGAAGAAUUCUGUGAGCUCUAGGAGUAAUAAAAUCUGAUUUUCUAGAGGAGUUGGUGUUUAAAAGCUUUUUGGCAUGGUUUCAGCAUUUGAAGAUUUUCUGCCUGUUCACCAGUGUUGAAGAUGUAAAUGCAUGCUAGAUUGCUCUCCCUUUGGGAAAAUUAAGCUCAGAUACAAAAGCCUAGAGUACCAUAAAUAAAAAAAAACAACCCUAUGCUAUUACUGAUGAUCAUGACAUUAGUUAAUUGGAUUUGCAUGAUAAAUGAUUGCUACAGCAUUAACUCUCCUGAUAGAACAGUUCAACUAUGAAUCAGUUGGUAAGAGCCUCAUUUAUUGAUGUUACAACAUGAUUUCUGAAGAAAAUCAAAUGAUAAUUCAACUAAUUAACAGUCAGUAAACACUAGAUAGGUCUGUGUGACAUCAAGUUAUAUCUGUAUUUUAUGUAUUGUAGGAGAGUCUUAUGUGGCUUAUCAGUGUUCAUACCGAACAAAGGCUUAUUACAUUAUGAAGUUCUAAAAUUACUGAUAUCUCGAAGACAUUUCAGCUCAGUGGCCUGAAACCGUUUUGGACAGAAGCCAGUUUUGGUAGACUGAACGCCACACUAUUCUUGACAGGAUACAGGCAUGGAUAUUGGUAGCAAAAUUUUGCUUUCAUUGUGAGGAGUGACCAUACUGGACACCAAAUAGUGCCUGGACAUGGCUGUAGCAAGGGCACUGAGGAAAUCCCUAAGGUCUAAUGGCACUAUAUUUAGAAGUAGGAUAAAUGGCUGGCAUGUUUCCUCAUUUGAUAGAGCCCGACUUUAGCAGGAGCAGGGAAAUGGCUGUCUCUCUGUACUUAGCGCUGGUCAAGUACUGUGUUCAGUUUUGGGCCCUCACUGCAAGAAAGACAUUGGUGCCCUAGAACAUGUCCAAAGAAAGGCAAUGAAGCUGCUGAAGGGUGAGGAGUGGCAGAGGGAACUGGGAGUGUUUAAUCCAGAGAAGAGAAAGCUCAGGAAAGACAUUAUUGCUCUCUUACAGCUACUGGAAGGGCUGCUGUAGCAAGGUAGGGGUUGGUCUCUUUUCCCAGAUAAGUAGUGGUAGGACAAGAAGUAGGGCAGUAGACUUUUAGUUGCAUCAGGGAAGAGACAGGUUAGAUAUUAGGAAAAAUGUACUCUCAGAAACGUGGAGAUGUGGCACUUAGAGAUGUGGUUUACUGGGCGUGAUGGUGAUGGGCUGAUGGUUGGACUAGAUGAUCUUAGCAGUCUUUUUUGAUUCUGUGAUACUAUGAACUCUUUCUGAUGGUUUACUUCAUCCUGUUUGGCUGAAGCCUUAAUGAGCUUAUUUUUAGCUAGGCUAUAAGUAUAUCUUAUCCGUGACCAAAAACGUGUUUUAUCUGUGACCAAAACUGACAAAACUGUAACAAAACGGAGACAGCAUCCAGCAUACAUGUGAGUGAAGAUUAGCAGUAGUGAGAUGCUGCUUUCUUGGAUUUUCAAGAAAGAAAUAAAGUUCCCCCAGGACCAGUUUUGCAUAUCAUGAGAGUUCAAAAGGCAACAUCAUAAAACUUAGCAUUGAUACGUGUGGAUUUAAAAUUGCCAAUGAAGGCAUUUCAUCAUUGCAUGAUUUCAGUGCAAGGUUUUAUCUGAUGAUUUCUUUCUUUCUUUCUUUGCAAAUGCUCUGCUUUAUUUAAAAAUUUCAAAGGCAUUCCUUAGGGGAUCUCAGUGAAAAGAAAUAACUAUUACCUUUACUGGUUUAAACAUGGACAGCAUCCUGCUAUAAGAAGAAAUGAUAAUCUGUGAUAUCUUUGAGUACUGCUAGCUAUUUAAAAAGGAUUUCGGUAAUUAUGAAGGGUAGGUCUCUGCAGAGGAAUUAUUUUACUUGAUCCUUUUGUAAAAACAGCAAGCUGUUAGUAUGGUAUGCUUUCAUCUCAAAUUGAGAUAAAAUAUUUAGUUCCUUGCAAAACAACUGUCCUUAAGGCAUUGCAUAAAUGGGAUAAUUUAAGAACGUUUUAACUAUGAUUUCAUUAUGAAUUAUUGUUAUACCAGUGAAAUGGCAAGAGUAUGCAAUUAUAAAACAAACUUAAUUUCAAGAUGUCAUUUUAAUUAAUUACUUUAACAUGUUCAAAACAAAGAUACUGUGUUGGGGCUUUUUUUUCUUUUAAGACAUGUUUAGAUGGUUUUACGCAAGUUUUGUAUGAGAUUGAAACAAGAAGACCUGAGUCUUCCACCCACCGUGGUUGAGGUUACUCGCUUACAUGGUUGCAUGGUUGAAGUUGCUGGUGCUCUUACUGCUUGUAGAGCCUUACUCAGGUGACUAGCUUGAAUAAGAAGAGCAAUAGCAUAAAAAUAAUUUUUACAGGACUUUGACCAUAAGGAGGUUUGUCAUGCAGUUGGUACUUUGGUGGGAAUAUCUGAGAUAAACCCAGCUCAUUAAAAGCCAGCUUAGGUCUCUACAGUAAUCACACUUGGCACAAAGUUUCUUUUUCUUCUUUUGGCUGAUUACAGUGAGAAAAACUAUUUGGUUUUAAUUCAGUGCAAUUUCUUGUGUUCUUCUUUCUCUUCUAUUAUCUGUAACAGUUACAAUGGAAGGGAUUCUAGGUCAUCGAAUAGAGUUUGUUGUUAUGGCAGUCAAGCAUAUAGAAUUAUUUUUUUUAGGUUUAUCAUACUUUCCAUACUUGUUACCCUCAUCUUGUUUGAAGCAUGCCUGUUUGAACUCAAACUACCAAUGAAAAAUUGAAACAUUUCUUAAUACAGUAGUUGACAUAAAUUCACAAAGUCUUUCACUUGAAGUAGUUUUGAAAGGAUUAUUUUUUGUUUGAGUUCUUGCUCUUUUACCAGUGUGCUGUUCCCUUAAUCUUUCCCAGCACUGUUCCCACAUGGUAUUGGGUAGAUCCCAUUUUUCUCAUUCAUUUUAUGUUCUACUCGUAGUUCUUGGAAAUCUUCUUUCCUUCCUAACAGCAGAAUGAGAAUUGCUCUGUUCUGAAAUACUGAUUGUAAAAAUUCCUCUUGCACUUGAACUCAGUAGGUGUUGAGCAUUAUAACUUAAAGGCAAAAACUGUGGCAUAUGCUUGAUUCAAAAUAAUGAAAUACUUCAUGUUGAUUUGUAGCUUUUCCAGCUUGCAUUUAAUUCUGUGAGAAUCAUUUUACUGUGCUGGGGACUCAGACUAAAUCCUUCUGCUCAUUCAAGAAAGUUGCAAAGUUAUAAUUUAGUCCAACUGAUAUUAUUACCUGUGUACCUUAAAGUGGAGCCUAUUAUGUAGCUUCACAUAGCUUAGUACUGAAAGCUGGUUUGCAUUCUGCAGCUGAGUUCUCUAGAUCCUGUCACCACAUUAAACAGAGCAAAUUGUGUGGAGGCAAUUUGAUUUUUCUUUUCUUUCUUUGCUCACAAAUGUCUAACCACACAGCUAUACAGUCUCUGGAGAGUUUAGCACCCAUAAGUGACUAGUGGAAUAAGAGUUUUAUAGUUUUAUAUUCUGGUUUUAUAGUACUGACUAUCUGCAAAUGGUCUAAGAAGACAGUAGGUCUAAAAAUGAAAAUUUAAGGCCAAUGAAGUUUUUUUGUAAUUUCAAUCUUCUGCACUAAAAAAGUAUUCUUCAUUUGCAGAGCUUUUGCAUAUGGUGAGAAUUACAGCCUGAUAUAUCUGCAGUUGGUUGCACAACAGAGCUGACUAUUCUCUGUAGUCCGGUCUGGUAACUGGUACAACAUUUAUUGAAAGUUAUCUGCCUGCUGCUGUGAGUUCUGAUUGUAUCACUCAGGUCUUUUUUUUUUCUGAACCCAUCUUCUCUUUUCUUUUUUAAAAACUUAUUUAAAAAAAAAAAAAUAAAUGGAUGGAAGGGGUCAGGAAUGUCCUUUAACUUUGUAAUUUGCGUGGGAGAAAGAAAUACAGAUGAGAUAAGUAUAAGAACAGUUGGCAUCAUAAGAAUUUUGAAGAUGUGAGGUACCUGUUGCUUCUUAGCCUCCGUAAAUUAGGAAUAAAUAUUUUUUGACAGCACUAAGUCUUGUGGUGGUGUCAAGAUAUAUUGGUGCCAGUAAUGAGUUUCCUUUUUUAUCGGAAUCCAGUUGUUGCAUGUAGACCAACCGUCUUUGGCUGUGUAACUUGUUCUCAAGUUUUAUUAUUUUUAUUUUGAUUUCUCAUUCCCUUAUUCAUCUUCCCAUGAUUUGAACUGUUCUGUAAUUGGAAUUCAUAGGAUUAGGCACUAAUAUUUAUAACAGAGAUCAGGUUAAAAUCCCAUUUUGAAAUAGGAUGAAGUAUUCAUGUCUAAUGAUCUAUGUGAUAGCAGCUGCAGAAGAAUGGCUGUUUAAACUGUUCUCUCCCAUUAAAAAAUGUUCAAAUACUUGCACAAAGCUUUAAAAGCCAUUGCUUGUGAAGGUCAUAGCAUGUUACUUCUGUAAGCUGAUUGGAAACAAACCACUUAGAACCAUACAAUUCACGACUGCUUAUCUUUUGGUGAACUCAGCUUGGAGUAUCAAAAAACGAAGGCAUACCAAACUGCUAUAUGUACUAAGUUUUCUAUGUUUGCUUAUGCCAUAGCUAUUUUCUAAGGAUUGACACAUAUGAAAAAUGUUUGUGCCUGUUGAGUUCACUACCAAAUUCAAGUUUUGAGUACAAACAACAAAGAUAUGCCUUUAAAAACGGCAAAACACUGAUUUCUAAGUAAAACCUUCUCUGCAUCUCCUUUAAGCUGUGAACUUAAUGUGCUUUCUGUUGAGGUCAGUGGCAGUGGCCUUGAAGAGAGUAUGUUCAGCAGCUUCAAAAGGGGCAUGAUUUCAUAUAAUACGUUACUUAUAAUUUUAGUUACAUAGUUGCAACCUGCCUUAAAUUAAUGAUGUUGUACCAGCUACAUUCUAAUCCACUAUGUUUCAUUUAUUAUUUUUACACCAAUAUCAAUAUUUAACAAAACACUCUUUUGCAACAAAACAGUUCCAAGCCUGAAAUUAGGUACUUGAGUAAGAAUGACUUAUUCUAAAGUUGGAAUUUAGAGUUUCUUGGAGGCUAUGAAAAUAAGGAAUUCAGUCUCUCUGACAUAAAAAUAUUGUGUGAAUUAUCCCCAGCAAUUGAACUCAUCUUUCACACAUUCACAGUGUGCAGAAUGCAAUCCAAGAAAAGGCAGUAGAAAUGCUUAUAUUUCUAUUGCACGUUCUUUUAUAUGGAUUAGUAUCUCAAGGAAAGUUACAAAAAGCACUUCAGUUUCAAUGAAAUCAAUGACAAAAUCAAAUAACGGAGGUACAAUUCCAUGGAAGGAAUAUAAAAGCUGCCUUAAAUUAAACACAGAUGUCUGUUCCAAUGGUCUGGGCACAGGCAGCAACUCAGGAGUCAGAUUUACAACAUACUUCCUCUUCGCCAAAAUUACUCCCAUCUGGAGUGAUUCACCUUUUACUAGAGUAAAACCUGCAUUUAUUUAAGGCAUGAACGGUUACAUUUCAGUCUGAUGCCAAAGGUGAAGUUCUUCUGACAGACUGCAUCGGUGAAGUUUAUCUACUAGAAUGUUUAAUACACUACUAAUAAUCUUUUUGCGGCUGUGGCAAACUUUUAAAAACCAUCUUUUAUUCCUUUACUAAAAUAAAGAUUGAAAGGCAAUCAGCAUACAGAUCACUCUACCUGAGAGGUUCAGUCACUCAACUCUUCUUUUUUCGAGCGCUGUCAAAUGCCCUUGAUGGUUUCCAGGAGGGGAGCUGGAUUACAACUGAACAUGGAUAGACCUGGUCUCAGAUUUACGUCUCUGUAUAAUGAUGACCCUUGCAGAAAUAGCUUCAGACGAGUAAUAGGAUUAUCAUAAGGGAAUUAAAAAAUUCUGUUCAUUAGUUUGAGCCAAUGAAGUUGCAGGCUAGAUAGAGAUUUAAAGGAUUUAGUGCGUAGAUAUAAUUGAGAAGGGAGAAAAACAACUGGGCCUAAGCAGAGAUACAAAUGGGCACCUUGGAAUUACAGAGUAAGGUGUAUUAAAAUUAUCAAGAUAUAUAAAUGAAUUGUAAAACACAGUGUGAGAACCAUUUCUGUAUAUAGGAAAGCUGCUAUUCUAUAUCUCUAUUUGCCUUUUAAACAUUUGAGUUGUGAUAGGACUCCUGUUUAUAAAAAGGAUUGUGCCAAUAUUGAAAUUACACCUAUCUUCUUGUGAAUGUAAAAAAAACAUACUUUCAGAAUGUAAAAGGAAGGAAGCAGAAUUUUACUCUGUGAAGAAUUAUGAAUAUAAUGUCUAUGUGACAGUAAGAAACAGUUAAAUUUGCAGCAGUUUUCAAUGGAAAACUUGUAAUUAAACCUCUGCUACAGUGGCUCACAUGCAUUUGGAUGCCCUGCAGCCAGAAAAGUCCAGCAGUCACCCACCACGUUGCUCAGACAAGUUUAAGGAGCAUUGUCCUGUGGAAAUAAAGACAAGUGAUGGCCCCAGCAGUGCCAAGAUGUGUAUGUUGUGGUACCUUAACUGAGUCCUUCUUCUUCCCUUCAACUCAUGUCUUGUUUUCUCUGUGCAGUAGAGCAGAAUUGUAGCACCCAGACAACUUAGCAGGUGAUUGCCUACCAAGCUCUGCUCAGUCAGUGGUAAGUAUAUUCAUAUGUUACUCUAUUUGAAAUCUUACUGUAAUAAUUCCUUUUAAGUUCAAAGAAACCCUGUGAACUACUUUUGAAAGAAUGAGGAUUAGAGCACCAUGCACAAGUGUUACUGUGCUCUGCAGUCCUUGCCUUUGAGCUGUCUCUCCACAUAAAGCACGUUAUCUGUGGCUGCUAACUUUGUGCUCUGUGCAGCUUUAGGGUUACAAGGCAGGCCAGAAUCACAGUCCUCAAGCCCAGAAAUUCUGAUUCAGGGAUGAGUCCUCCUUGCAGUGAAGGAGGACCAAAGUAGGGAACAAGAACUGAAUAUAAGCCCAUGAGACCUGAUAGCAUGCACCCUCAAAUGCUGCAGAAGCUGGCGAUGUCACUGCAAGGCCACUGUCACUGUCACUAGUGAGGCAUGUGUGGGUGCUGUGUCCAGAUUCCCCAUUACAGGAGGGAUGCAGGCUUGUUGGAGUGAAGCCAGUAAAUGGACAGAAAGGAACUGUAGCAUCAGUUGUGUGAGAAGAGGAGGGGGUGUGUGGGCUCAGCCUGCAGAAGAGAAGGCUCAGAGGGACUUUAUCAGUGUUACAAAUACGUGAUGAAAGGGUGGAAAGGUGGAGCCAGACCUAUCCACGGUGUCCAGUGAAAGGAAAAGAGGUAAUGGGUGGUAGCUGAAACGCAGGAAAUUGCCUUUGAAUGUGUAUAUGCAUAUAUGCAUUCAUAUUUACAUAUAUAUGGGGGGUGGUUGAACGGGGAUAGGUUGCCUGGUGAGAAUAUGGAGCCCUCACCCCUGAAGAUAUUCAAAUCCCAGCAGGGACCCUGGCAUCUGCUUGAGAGGAGGCUGGGCUGGCUGAUCUGCAGACUCCAGCCUCAGCUGCUCUGUUGUUAGUUAAUGAAGUAGAAACAGUAUAACUGUAUAAGGAACAGGAGCAAACUUGAAAAACAGUGUUGCUGUUUUCUUAGUAAUCAGACUAUAGAGAAGGAUAACAAAAAUUAGUUUUCACUGUGUCAAUAGACUCUGAUUAGUUCAUCCUUAAAAAUAACAAAAGAAAUGUGUUGGGGAUCUGCAAAAAUUUUCCACCUAGAUUUCUGCAUGAAAAGACGAAGCAAAGCAUAACUGUAGAUUUUCCUUACAUCUUCAAAUUUAAACGCAGGAAGUUGAGAUCAUGGCUGUAUUUUGGGCAUUUAGGGUGCCUAGAUGCUCUGUGGCCUGGAGAAAGACCUAGAAGCCCAGAGGACUAAAGGAAUAGAAUCUGACCUUGAGGUAUAGAAACUUAAGGGCCAAGAGACCAAGAGGGAGGCCAGGUGGCUGGAUAAGAGACCUUGGGGCUUUAACGGCCAAAGGGAGGCCUACAGGUGUAGAAACUUGGAGACCAAGAGGCCCAAAAAAUCUGUAUUACUUUUCAGCACAUUUGCCUUAUUUAUCUUAGCAGACUCAAAGCUCACACAUUCACAUUUGUACACAUUUGUUCUUUCUCUCUUCAUUUAUUUUUCUUUCUUGCUUGAUUAGGUUUCUAUUUGCUAAAAGCCCCAGGCUGUUUCCUUACCGGAUACACUUUAGCUUUCAGAGAUUUCAAGUACUUCAAUUUUUCACUUCCUUGCAUGAUAUUUAAAUGUCUUUUUAUGAGAUAGUUGUUAAUUUUUAAUGGAAGAUCCCAUUAAAUUGGAAAGUUCACUAGCAGUGUUCCAAAGGGCAAAAGCAAGAUGAUAAAGAGUAGUUCACACUUGUAUAUAAUAUUACUGUUUUCAGCCAGUAGCAGGUAGGCAGAAUUCAUUUUAAUGAAGAAGUAGUUGGUGGGGCUUUUCCAAGGCGCAAAUGGAGGAGGACUUAUUUAUGGGAAAGAGGGCAAGCAGGGGAUUUCUAACUGUAAAUUCAUCAACUUCCAGGUCUUCUCUUUCAAUACAGAGUUGCAUUAUGUUUGAGUAUUACCUAAUUUGAGUAUGAUAAUCAGUGUAAUUAUUUUUAAAUCUUUGAACAUGUGCUUUUAUCAAUUUCAUCUGUUUUUUUACAACAUGAAACUGUUAGCAUUCAUUUCUGUCUGUGAGACAGCAUUAUUUUAGGAAAAAGCCUGGAUAUGACAACCUCAGCCAUAACUCCAUCACCUCCUUUAGAUUUUCCUUUCUACAAAUCACAAAUAUGUAUGUUCCUGGUGUGCCAUAUGGAGAGAGCCUUUUAAAUUAGCAUGGACAAAAAGCAUAAGGAAGUCUAGAAAGGCCAUUUUGAAGUGAUUUAAUCUACAACUGAUAAUUUUCUUAACAUUUUUUUUCAAGUUUUCUUUUUAUUUUUAUUUUUUGAUGAGAUAUCACUUCUACAGCAUUAGGCUAGAAGGUGCUCUUAAGGUUUUUAAUGUAAAACUGUGUUUUGUCUGCUAGCAACAAGUACAGCAUGUGCCAUGAUUUCACAAAGAAACCUAUUAAAUUGAUUACUAGCGUUAUUUUGUGAUAGUUUUGUACUUAAUUAUGAGUACUUGCAGGAAGAUUUACAAAAUUAUUCUUGUUUAUCAUGUCUAUCAUUCAAUAGACCUUUGUUGCAAAAGGGUGGAUUAAGUCUUGGCAUGGAAACCAAUACUAAACCAAUUAGGAAAACUCUGCUUAUUUGCAUCCUUGUCAUUAACUUGAUGAAAAUUAAAAUGAGGAGCAGGAAGAAGAGCAGUGAGUUUCUUGUGUCUGGUUCAUCACAAAGCUGCAAUGUUAUCCUUUUGCAGCUCCAAGCAUAGCAAGCCUGAAAAUUUUAUCCUGCAUUCAGGUUCUUCACAAAAACUUUCAGAACGGCCCUCUGCAACAGAGCAAGGCAUGUUUUCUGGGGAUAGCUCUCAAAUCACUGGAGUGAGACUUCCAUCUUCUUACUGGCCAGCUAUCAGUUCAUAUUUUUGCAUUUGUGUUCUAUUUUGCAUGUUGGUCACCCAGUGCAGUCCCUCUGUCAGGCAGAGCCACAUACGCACAGGUAACACCCUAUUUGGAGAGCGAUAAGGAGCAGGCCGUCCUCAUCUCAGGCGGCCAUCCUGCAGCACUCCUCUUUCCUGGUUCCUCAAGGUGUGUCUUCCUUGUUGCCCUACAGCAAGGGCUGCAUCACCAUUGUGUCCCUGCCAUCUCAGAUGUUGAUGCGCAGCAGAGAAAUUUUUUGGGUCCCAUCCAUGCUCGGUGCCACCCACAGUGUGUGAGGCUGGGUCUCCUGAUCUAUUGAAGUCUCUUCCAACCUGAGCUGGUCUGGGCUGAGGUUUGAAGUGGUUUGAACACGAAGGCAACAAUCUACUUUGCACCAUUACAUGUGCAAUACUGACCCAUAGAGGUCAGUGUUUGCCUUUGAAAAGGAAGAGGAUCGUGUGUCUGAAGCACAUGUCACCUAACAUGCAGUUUGCCUUCCUAUCUGCUUCUACUGAUUGAUCAGGAUUAAUAACGUACCACUGUCUUUCUAAGCUUGGAAGGUAUGGCUGAGAAAGCAAAUGUUAAUACAUUUUAAGUUUUGCUAUCUAACAUUUUAAAGGCUGAAAUAUGGUAUUUAAAAAAUAUCACAAAAUAUUUGCAGAUCUAUCUUAAAAUAGGGAGAACCUAUCAUAUCUGUAGUUACAGUGUUAAAUUUAUUUCAUGCAGUCAUCUGAGUGGACAUGAGGAAUGUUGGCAGCAACAUGCUUGUAGGGUGAAACUUUCCCACUUCAUCAUGAGACCCGCGUACCGUGGUUUGUCUGUGAUAUUACAUGAAAGUAAUUACAUAUGAACCACUUGCCUUUGAUUAUGGAGGAUACUUUCAGAAAUGAAGCCUGCAGAGUAAUUAUGACUCAAGAAAGAAUAAAAGUCACUCUGAAAAGAAUGAACAAACGUAUUUUGUAUCUUUUGAAAGCAUUUUGAAAGUAUUUUGUAAGGACUGUCUUCUCAAAUGUUAUUAAAAUGAACCCUAGUCAGUGUUACCUAAGCAUGUUAAAAAUGAUUAGUUUUGGUUUGUUUCUAUAUGGUUUUGCAUGGUAAAUGAGGUAAGAAUGGCAUUGGUUGCCCCAUGUUUACUUAUUUUUUCAAGUGUGUCAAACUGCCCCCAGGCUGUGCACAUUGCAGUUUGUAAUCAUGUGAAAUGCGUUUGCUGACUGGAUAAAAAUCUUACCAAACCAUAAACGGAAACUUUGUUAACCAAAAUAAGCAUUCCUUUGCCUAUCAGGUGUGACAGCUGGAAAUCAUUUUGAGCUGUAUGGUUGGCUGAAAAACUGAGUUCCAGCGUCUCGAGCAAAGAAACCACUGCUGUUAUUCACCAUAUUCUCUAAUUGGCUCAAUUGCUUGUUGAAGAAUAACUAUUUUUCUACAAAAUCAAAACAAUUACCAGAAUUGGAUAAUAUUUAGUAUUCAUUUUAUUGUGAAGUUUAUAUGAAUGCUGCUUAUUAAUAAAAAGUUUGCAGAGAUAUGGCGCAGUCAUUGCUUUUGAAAAUGUAUUAAUGGGAAUCUUCAGCUGAAGUGCUUAUGCCCCUUCUCUGGUAUUCUUUCUUCCUCUAUGAAUAGUGCUUUUACCUACAUGUUUCUACAUGUUUUGAGUGUGAAGUGAGAGGCUCUGAUAUGUUGAAAUACUCUGCUUGCAUCUGUGUGUAUCCUAGCUGUCUGUUUGUUUUAAAUUAAGUGUUUAAGAUGAUAGUGCACAAUUUUCUGAAUUUACAUCUUAGAAAAAGAAAUUACUGUGCUUUAGAUCUUCCUUCAGACCUGUAACCAGAAGGGAGCACUCUUACUUAAGGCACAGAAAUGUUCUCCUCUGACAUUAGUUUCUGCUGUUUGCCCACAACAAUUAGUAAAGAGUGAGUGUGGAAUUUUUCAGCAGUGCACCGACAAUCUCUGUAUAGAUUUGUUGCCAGGUAUUGGGAGAUCUAUUUCUCAUAGUCACUAUAGUUGUAGCCAUUGCUUGCUGAAAUUGAAUGAAUGGCAAUUUUGAUUGAGAUGGAGUUCUGCUACUGAAUUCAUGUAGGGAACUGGCAUGUAUAGAUUUCCAAUGCAGUGAUGUAUGUCUUUUAUUGCAUUUAUUUUUUAUUACUUUUUCCUUUUUACAUGAGUUGUGUGGUAUCACUAAUUUGGGAGUGCCACUGUUUUCCAUCAACCAGGUGAGAAGGAUUCUAAAAAGACAGGGAUCUCCUACAGAGAGUCCAGCAGGGUGCCACAAAGACAAGUUAGGGAUGUGGAGAAUCUCCUAUACGAGGAAAGACUCAGAGACCUGGGACUCUUCAGCCUGGAGAAGAGGAGUCUGAGAGAAAUCUCAUCACUAUGUAUAAAUAUCUAAAGGGUGGGAGUCAAGUGGUUGGGGCCAGGCUCUUUUCAGUGUUGUGCAGAGACAGAAUGAGAGGCAAUGGACAGAAACUGGAACACAGGAAGUUUCAUAUUAACAUGAGGAGGAGUUGCUCCACUGACAGAGUGGCAGAGCAAUGGAACAGGCUGCCCAGAGAGGUUGUGGAGUCUCCUUCUCUGGAGAUAUUCAAGACCUGCCUGGGCACUGUCCUUUGCAACCCGCUGUAGGGAACCUGCUUUAGCAGGGGGAUGGAACUUGAUCUCCAGAGGUCCCUUCCAACCCCUACAAUUCUGUGAUUCCGCGAUUAUAGAGAUCUGUUGUGAACACUUGUAACAGAUUUAAAAUAUUUUGAUGGAGCAGGUUAGUCCAAAACCAAAUUGAGAAAGCUGACCUGCAAGUCACUCUGCUGCUCAGUAGCUCUCAGCAGCCAUGUGCAGGCAACUUGCGAGGGCUUGUGUUCCUUCCCAAGGAUUAAUCAAUGCUCCAUGCACAGUUUAGCCAAGAUUUUAAAAGCAAAUAGGAACUGUGUGUUGUCUCAAGAGAGUGCAGGCAAUGCAGGUAACCUCCUGCAGCUAUUGAUUUAAUGGGUAGACAAUAGUAAAGAUGACUGCUAGCUGCAGGUAGUACAUGGGUGCUUGAAUACAGGAUGUUAUAUGCGAGUUACUCCAAAAGCAAUGCCUCCCAUGCAAUAAUGUUGCCCCACAAUGUCAUGGAAGUGCAUAUGAAGCACUGGAACUGAGUUCCUCCAUGCAGAAAAAAUGGCAUUCAUUUACAUUCAUUGACACCUGUGAACAUUUAUGGAGACCAAACAGUGGCUGUGAGCACAGUGUGAGGUGGAUGGUAAGUUUCAGCAGCAGUGACAGCAACAGUGGAUCGCUUCUGCUGGUGCAGAUCUUUAUGAGUAUGACAUAGUGGUUCAUGUCCACUGCUGCAGAAAAUGUACGGAAGUGACUAUGCUGAAAAAGUGUGUUUUGCAGCUGAGAAUUUGCUCUAUAAAAUAAUGUUAUUGUUCUCUUUGAAUCUGUCGCAGUUUCCAUGGAAAUAAAUUGGAGGCAUUACUUUCAGAGCAACCCAGUUCUUGGUCUAAAGAGGCUGCACUGAAACAUUGCUGUCCUACUGCUGUAUACCUGGCUCACCCUGAGUUGGCCGAUGUCUCCAAGAAUGAGAGUGCUUGGGUCUUGCAUUAGCACUGGAACGGCUGCGUGGUCCAUCCUCCUCUGAGCAGUGCCCCUGAGACUCCAUAGGAGGUAUUUCAGACCUCUCUUUUGUUUGCCUGUCUUAAAGAAAAUCCAAACAAACCAUUUCUAGCAGUGAGGGGAGUGCACUGCUGCUCAUUUCCCUAAGCUCUGUCUCAGAUUUUUCUCUAAUGGUAGUUACUCUUCGAAAGUUUAUUUGAAGUUUGAAAGUCAUGGGUAGCAGGGAAGCCUGGUUCAGAUCCUUUCUGAUCAACUAAUUGCAUAUCUUGUCUUUUUGCAGUGUAUCGAGGGCAUCUUAUUGGUAGAUCUGUGGGAAUACACCACAGGAAUGUCCUACUGCUCAUGCUUGUUCUCUGCAUGCAAGGCUCAGGUGGAGGUUUGUAUGUAAGGGUUGCAGUUGGAAUGCGGAGAAAGUAAAUUAUUUUAAACCUAAGAGGAAAAGGGUUGCGGGAGGAUUAGGAAUGUCUGGGACAGACAUACGAAAGGGGUGGGCAGUUAUUCAUAGGUCCUAAUAUAAUAAUGCACGUCAAUAUGUGAUUCAGAUGUAAGUCUGAUGAAUUUAUAGCAAAAUGAGGAAAUAAACUGGCAAUGCAAACAGGUAUUUAAUCAGCAUAUAAUCUCAGAAACAUGUUUGGAAGGAACACUUCAUUGGUCAUUAGGUCUGUUUCCCUGCGUCAUAUGGAAGAGUUCAGUUAUUCUAAGCCACUCCUCCUUGGAUGGGUGUCAGACAGUUGCUAUGUCCAAUGCUAUGUCCAUUUCUGGACUGUUUGCUGCAUUUUCCUUGUCAUAGAAACAAAAGCAUUGAAAUGUAAUGUAAUGUUGUUAUACUCUGCAAAAUGACCACAAUUCAGGUUCCAUGUUUACUGCUUCCCCUGCUUACAGUAAUUUCUUACUGCUACUACUGCUUACAGUAACUUCUGCCUAAGUAUUGUAAGUGGAUAAUUAAUCUUGUAAUUUUGUUUUCUGAACAGGAGUCCUGGAAAAUGUCCUCUGGCAGUUGAAAUUUUGGCUAGUUUGUGCUUUUUCUGUUUUAGCAUUUUACUAAAGCUUCAAUAUAUGUGUAUUUUAUAUUGUCUCAUAUGAUUAUGUGCAUAUAUAUAUUCCUGUUCCACACCCAUUUAGACAUGGCAGAUGGUGAGUUCUAGAAAUGAUUCUGUUUCCUUGGAAGAACUGAGUAAUUACAUUAGAAGUUUAAUGAGUUGAAAUUACUUUUCUAGUUAACAUUUGCCCUUUAAGUGUAGAGAAUUCUUUGAACAAUUUGGGCCUUAUUUGUGUGUGUUCCUAGAUGAAAUUUUGCAAAGGAACUUGGGGUUUUAUGUCUUUGUGCACAUUUUCCGUGGGGUAUUUUGAGAUUUAAAUUUCAGUGCUUGUUACUGAAUAAACAAAUCUGAUUCCUGUUUCAUUGCAAGACUGUAACUUCCUGCCGGGAAGGCCCAGGGCAGGCUUAUGGCAGCAAACUUCUGGCAACCAAGAAUGUAGCCCAGCAUUGUGAUGUUCAGGUACCUCUCUUUCUGUGGAAAGAAAUGGAAGAAAAACACACACAGAGCAUUUCAGUAAUCUGCCAUGAGCAACACUCUCAAUCACCGUUUUCAAACUAUUCACUUUCCUUAGUUUAAACAACCAUCUCUGUCUUUUCGAUGUUGUUUUAUAUUUGUUUAUAUUUGUGCUAGCUUUUUUUUCCCAUUUGCUUAGGUUGCUUAUGGAUUAUGAAAUUAGUACAGGUUGAAUGAAUGUAAAGAAAGACUGUGGACAUGAAUUUUGCUUUCCAAAUGAUGUUUUUUCAUUAUCCUCUCAAGAUAAUACAGGUCCAUUCUUGUACCAGCCAAGGGAACUCUUGUCAUCUAGUAAGUCUUGGUCUAAUUGUGGACCUAGAGAUGGAGGAGCAGCCUGGGCUACCAGCCUUUGCAUCUCUGGCCUUUUUUGAGGACUUGCUAUCAUGGCAGCUCUUGAGUUCUGGAUCUGGUCUCCCUGCCUGCCUGGGUUUAGCACCUUAUCAGCCCUCAACUACAAGUCUAGGCAGCUGAACCUAGUCAUUUACAAUUUCUGCUAGUAUUGUUGCCAUAGAAUUGUUUUCAUGUUCUAGUCGCUGUGUUGUGGCUCUGCUCUUUUUCUGGGUGAAAAUUUCUUUCUUACUUUCUAAGGAUAAUUAUGUAUUUAUUCAUAGCAUCCAAUAUAGGGCAAAUUUGAAUUAGGAGAUGAACAUUUUGAGAAUUUAUUCUUGAAAUAGUGGAACACAAGAUUGUUUCAAUUAGGAUGAGCAACUGACACACCAGUCAGAUGUGUUGGAUGCUAUCUUGUUUAAAUAUGUUGAUUUUAAUCUUAAAUAAUAAUAAUAAAAAAUAUUUUUUUAAAAAAAAAAAGGUCAGAUUCAUAACUAGUUUUUCCUUUGGGAAUCAAAAUUCUUGGUACAAAGUAUAGUGAUUUGAUCAAAAUUUUGGUGUUAGCUCUUGAUCUAAGUAGUUUCAACAUGUUCUUUGGCUUUGCUCCUUUACAGUAAAAAUAAUGGGCUAAUUGCCUUACCUGACUGACAGGUAUGUCAGAUUUGCAAAGUUAAAAGAUACAAAGUGGCUAUAAAUAGUCCCCCAGCCUUUUCUUGUUUCUUUGGGUAUUUGCUGCCUCAUUUAACCUUUUGAAGAAUUCCUUUGUUACAACUACCAAUCAGCGACCGAGGAGGAUUCUUGUCUAGUCUGACAUGGUAUUAAUGGCAUUUAGCCCAACGGUAUUAUAAUCUGGCGGAUUCCAAAUUCUAAGGGAAAGAGAGCUUUCCCUUGUCCUGGAGCUUUCACCUUCUCUAUUAUUUUAACUAAUACAUUUCUUGUUGGCUCUGAUUCUUGCUUACUUCAAGUGAUGUUAACAUGUCUGUGCUGACAGCUCUUCUCUUUUUUUCCAGAAACCUCUCAAGGCUUUGUUUGUAUCAAUUAUAUUCCAGUACUGUAGCCUAGUCAAGAUUAUGUCUUGCAAUAUUGCAUGAACCUGAAGGCCAGCCACUUCAAGGGCUACCUGAUCAGGAAGAGGAAAUUGAUGAGGUCUUCCACAGAUAGCUGAAAGUAGCAUCACAACUGUGGGCACUGGUUCUCAUGGAGAACUUCAACCACCCUGGUAUUUGCUGGAAAAGCACCACCGCCAAGCACACAGAGUCCAGAAGAUUCCUGCAGUGCAUGCAAGAUUACUAUCUCAUGCAUUUGGUGCAGGUGACAAUAAGGAGAGAUGUACUUCUGGAACUUGUUCUUACAAAAAAGGAAGAAUUGGUUGGAAAUGUGAAGUCUGUAGGCAGCCUUAAUGCAAUGACUCUGAGAUAGAGAAGCUCAAGAUCUUACAUGGAAGAAACAGGGCAACGUGUAAGAGCACUGGAAAGUAUGUGGGCCCAAACAAGUUGGUUGACAUUCUAAGCUCAAGAGUGGUGGAUCCCUAAGAGUAAGAAAUCAGGCAAAGGUGGCAGGAGACCUCCGUUGAUGAGCAAGGAGCUCAUGGAAAAACUCAAAUGAAGGAACAAAUCUAUGGAAUGUGGAUAAAGGGUCUGACCAUUUCAGAGAAAUAUGGGACUGUUGUCUUCUUUAAGUAUAUCAAUAGUAAAAGGAAGACUAUUGAAAAUGCGAGUCCACUACUAAAUGAGGUAAGUUUCCUGGUAACAGAAGACACUGAGAAGGCAGAGUUACUGAAUGCCUUCUUUGCUUCAGUCUUUACUGCUAAGACUGCCCCUCAGGAACCCCAGACCUGGAGAUUCUCAGGAGAGAGUCUGGGGAAAGGAAGACUUCCAUUUGAUGAGGAGGAUCUGAUCAGAGAUUAUCUAGACAAAUUCAACACACAGAAAUCCAUGGAUACUGAUGGGAUGCACCCAUGAGUACUGAGGGAGCUGAUAGAAGUGAUUGCCAAGUUGCUCUCUAUCGUCUUCAAAACGGGAGAGGUGUCUGAAGACUGAAGGGUAGACAGUGUACUCCAGCCUUCAAGAUGAACGAGAAGGAGAAGGCAGAAAACUACAGGAAAAUCAGCCUCACCUCUGUUCGUGGAUAGGUGAUGGAACAACUUGUUCUGGAUGUCAUCUCCAAGCAAUUGGAAGAGAAGGAGAUUAUCAGGAGUAGUCAGCAUGGAUUCAUCAAGGGGAAGUCUUGCUAGACCAUUCUGGUAGCCUUUUAUGAUGCCGUGUCUGGCUGGAUAGGUGAGUGGAGAGCAGAGCACCUUGAUUUUUGCAAGGCUUUUGACACUGUGUACUGAGACUGUUUAGGAGGAGAAGACUGAGAGGUGAUUUAGUCAAUGCGUAUAAAUAUCUAAAGGGUGGGAGUUGUGGAUUCUCCUUCUCUGGAGAUAUUCAAGAUGUGCCUGGACACUUUUCUGUGCAACCUACUGUAGGGACCCUGCUUCAGCAGGAGAGUUGGACUAGAUGAUCUCCAGAGGUUCUUUCCAGCCUCUAUGAUUCUGUGAUUUGAGUUGUCCUGUGGGGAGCCAGGGGUUGGACUUGGCAAUUCCCUUCCAGCUCAGAAUAUUCUAUGAUUCUGUUGCACAUCCGACAUGAACAAGCCACAUUUCAGUUACUUUUAUAGUUCUGAUCAGAGAACUUAAGAAAAGCAUAUCAGCCAAAGAAAACGUAUUAGCAUCACUCGGCUCAAGUGCGUUGAAUGAGUGCCUUGAAAUGAUUUGCUGGAGAAAUGACACCAAAAGAAAAAUAUAUAAACUUCUCAUUUAUCUGAAACACCUGAUGCAGUAAUAUUUUUUCUCAAGAAAAAAAUUGGUAAAAUUGUAUCACAGAGAUGCAAUUCCAACAAAUAAAGGGACUUCUAAAUAGCAAGUGAGGCAUAGCUAAUAAGGAAAUACUGCAGUGGUGAUGCAAGGGGUACAAAAGAAGAUGAAGGAGAAAUGAAGUCUUAAGGUGAAAUGAAUAUAUAUUGUUCUUUCCAAAUGCAAUAAAGAAUCACAGUUUUAUAAGCAAUUGAAAGUGGACUAAAUGCUUUAAAAAGACCUCAACUUCCUUCUCCGUUCUUUUUCCAUCUUGUCAACAGAUAGAGAUGCUGCAAGGGAACACACACUGCUUGUAGUAAACUCCAGCAGCCCCAGGGUCAGAGAUAACUAGUUUGAAUUGUAGCAGGAUGCUGUGAGAUAUGUUGUGAUUGAAUAGGCACAUCUGGAGCCAACGUGGGGAUUGCAAGGAUGGCUUAAAGCUUCUUUGGAGUUAUCCCUCUCCAAGUUAAAUGUAUCCCACAGCUGUUCAUGAAGAUUGCCAUUAUUAUCCUUUCCUGUAUUUUUUCCAUGUUUAGAAUUUUAUAAAGUGAAAUAAUUUGGACAGGAUUUUUGGACAGAGGCUUUCUCUCAUUUUCUGUGACCUUCCUUAGCCUCAUCAGUGUGAUUUGAGAAUCUUUCCCCAAAUGGCUAAAUAAAGCUCUGUCUGAUAAUGGAAAAACUCAUUUCCAUGUUCCAGUAGUUUAAGUCUGAACUUGAAGUCCAGCCCUGUAUUUUGGCUUCUCUCUGCUGCAGCAAGAAAACAUUUAUAUGAAGGCAGUGGAAUUGGCUGUCUCCUGUUUCAAGGUAUUUGCUGUACACAGUUGCAUAUUUCAAUAGGUUGUUCCAAUAUAAAUAUUUUAAAAAGGAUAGGAAACCCCAAACUAAGUGGACAGCAAUUUCCAGAGCUGCUUCACAGAAUGCCUGUGGCAGGAAAGCUCUUGAGUGUGAAGGAGUAGUGUACAGCAUGUUAUCAAAAGAUAGAAGAUAAUUGCUAGGCAAAACUGCAAAACACUCCGGCACUCACGUCUCCUGUGCUGAUAUCCAGACUGAAGAAAAACAGGCUUGGUGUCAGGCUGUGGGGGGCUUGCUGCAGGAGGGUGGGAGGGAGCAUACUAAACCACAGUUCUUCCUCUCUGCUCCUCAAAAUGUCAAAUGUAACUAUUUCUCUUUGCUGUUCUGCACCACAUGCAUGAUAUUAUUCGAGAAUGUAAGCAGCCAGAGCACAUCAGCACCCAGUCACGUCUGCGUGGCCUGUCUGCCCUGCGGCGAUGCAUCAUGCUGCGGUCAGUACUGACAUGGCCAUGAGCAGGAGAUGGCCGUGUCUGGGAGACCUUCCUGCUCCUUGGGCCGUUCCUUUCAGGGGCUUAAAGCUGCCUGAACACACCAGAUAAAAUUAGAAACUCGUAGGGCCAUUAUUAUUGUGUGUGAAUGUUAUUGCCUGUUACCAAUGAAACAGAACUUUGUGCUUACAGCCAAGGAGUACUACAAUAUUGAAACUUCCUGCUUUGUUUGCUUGUGAAGCGUCAUCACAAUGGUUUGGAAAUCCAGCACAAGGAAAAAUAGCAAUUUCUGGUUUGGUUUGUCAUCUUACUGAUCUGCUGUGAGUGCAUUCUCUGAAAGAAAAGAAGCGCUCAUGCUCUGAAAGCAUAUUUUGCCUUUUAUUUUUGGCCAAGAAUAGUUACUUUAAUCUCGUAAAUUGCUGAGUACGUAUAAAGUUGAAAAUCUUCAGAAAAUAACAUGCAGCCCAUACUAGGUACAAAUCCAGUUUUGUGUGCCAGACUGAUUCCCAAAGAAAAUCACAUAAAAACAUAUACUUUUUAAGAUUAAGGAAAUUUAAUUCUCUUUCCUCUUCCCCUUCAUCUAGGCUAACUUACAACUUCUGAAAUUGAAACUUUUUUUUUUUUUAACUGUUAAAAACCUGUUCAAAUCAGUAUUUGCAACAUUAGUUGCUCUCAUUUAUGUGCUAUGUGACUCCACACAACCUUUUUCUGUAGUGAUUGGCAGAAAAGAGACGUGCUUCAGAAGAUAAUCAAAAUGUGGGGAAAAAAAACCUUUUUUGAGUCAAAAUAAAAGCAUUUUCUGCUUUUUGUUGAAAAAUUAAAGAAAAAAGUUCCUCUGGUUUAACUUAGUGCCACAUUAAGUUGUCUUAUCUAAUAAUUAAAUUAAUGAUGUAUUUGGAUAAUGUUUGAAUUUUUAAUUUGAAGCUUAUUGGAAUGAUUUUGUUAUGUUUGAAGUGAAACUUCUCAGUUACAGAUCUCCAAAUUCUGUUGAACUUUCUUUGUUCUGUCACCCUUGAAGUGAAAAUAACUGAUUAUCAAAAUCAAAAUUUUGGGCUUUUUUUUUAAUCUUCCCCUACCCCGAAUUUAUUCUAUAUUUUGUUGCUUGGAGGGGAGCUGAGGAUGGUGUAAGUCAUGCUACUAUGCAUAAAGUCUAUUAAUGGUUUUUGGGGGGCCCACCCUUGUUCUAUAUUGGCUUUCUUUUCAUUAGGUCUGACAUUUGAGGGCUGACUUCUGAGAGGUGCUAGAAAGCACAAGGGAGCCGUGUAGGUCUGUGCUGCAUAUCCAGAACACCACACCUGUGGUGUGAUGGCUGAACUACAGGUGCAGCACCUGCCUGUACUGUGUGAACCUGUGUUACAGGUCAAACUCAGCCACAGAUAAGUGAGAUCAGUGACGUUAUGCUGAUUUAUAGGAGAAAUGACUUUCUCCUAUAAGUUUCAUAGAGUGAGGCACACUGUCUCAUAAGUAAACAAAUUCAUUCUGAUUGUCAGACAGUGCUACCACCAGACCUCAGCUUGUGUGUGCAGAGCCAGUGACUGAUGCCUUGGAUGACCUUGGGUGUUUUGGCAAGAUGGAUGUUUGCAAGCACUGACUGCCAACUGUUGUUUUAUUGCUUUAUGUAGUAAAGAUGUGAUCUGUAUUUCCACCUUGUUAUUGGAAACAAUCGGCCAAGUUGUACAGGUAGUCAAUUUAAAGUAUGUAGUUUCAAAAUUGCAUAAGCAAACCAUUACUAGAAUGCACGCUUCCUUAUGAUGCAGUUUCCUAAACUCUCCUUCCCCACUACCAUAUCUUUGGUAUUAGUAGGGAAAAUGGUGAAUCGUUUCACUUCAGACAUAGGUGCCAUUAGGUAGCUGUCAUGUCUACCUACAGCUUGCCUCCUCACUUCCCUGCAUCCUGCAGGCCAACAUGAAGUUUCUACAUAGUGAUAAGUCAGUGUACACCUGUAGUCAAGUUUCAGGCUUGAAAUAAAAGAUUUUAGAAACCAAAUGGUGCUUGCAAAAUCUCUAGACCACUUGUGUUUAACAUCAUCUUGAGAACCAUGUGUGUUUAGCAUCAUCAUGCUUAACGUCACUGGAAGACAAAGGGACAUGACCAGCUUCUUUUCAGCGGUCUUUGGAGAAAUAGUCAUAAACUGGAGCACAGGAAGUUCUAAAGGAGCUUAUUCAUGGUGAGGGUGACAGAGCACUGGAACAGGUUGCCCAGGGCGGCUGUGGAUUCUGCUUCUCUGAAAAUAUUCAAGACCUGCCUGGAUGCUGAGCUGUGUUGCCUGCUUGCUGUAAGGACCUGCUUUGUAGGGGGCUGGUCUCGAUGAUCUCUUGAGGCCCCUUCCAAGCCUGUGAUUCUGCCACUAAAAUGUUACCUAAUUCAGGAAAGGAUUCCUACUGCCAGAAGAUGAUUUCUUCAACUAUUCCUUCUAACUUUGCGUUCAUAUUUUCCUACUGGACUCAUCAUGAUGGUGUCAAAGUACUUUGUCAGAGAUGCAGCUUUGAAAUCCAGUGGAUGUGUCACAUAUUUGCUGUUGCAUAUACUAGCCUGGGUUUCUUUUCCUUGCUAACAUGGUGCGAAUGCAUGUAGCCACUUAACAGCGAAGACAUGAAUCACAGCCUAUUGUAUUAUUUUUUUUACUCAUUUUUUCCCAGCUUUCUGAUUCAUUCAAAUGGAAGAAAUUUCUAUGGCAAAAUUCAAGGUGUCAAAAUAUCCAUCCCAAGAAUACAAUGCUUGAUUGUUUUGACUGCUGUAAUUUCCUUCCUGGAAACCAUGAUGGUGGACCAAACACUGAUGACUUAUUUUCAGAAAAGAGAAUUUACUUGACUUCUUGGAAUUAGUAAGGUGAUAUGUAAAGGAUCUCCAAGUUCUCAGAAGAGCAAACCGGAUAGCGACCAGUACGAGGAUUUAAAGAGAAUAGCGCUGAACUUGUUUAUUUCACAUGAACAUUAUAUCCAGAAAUGGAAGAGGUCAUAAUUGGUGUGUGGACUUCAGUGUACUGGUAAUCAAGAAAACAGAUUGAGUUAACGUGAUCAUCAGUGUUUAAGUGCAGAUUACUCAUGGCAACUUGUUGGCCUCAUUGCAGCGUGGUAGAUAAAAUUUCUUCCUCCUUCAGGAGUAGUUCAAGUAAAUGUGUUACUGUAGGUCAUUUUGCCUUACAAAUGACUUGGCAAGUGAGAUUGCAGAAAAUGGUUUAAAUAUGUGAUAGCAUAAAGGUAACUGAUCAAGAAGCAGGAAAUUUUUUUCUACUAUAAAGUAUUUGAUGGAACUAAAUUUAAUUAAAAUUUCCAUCUUCAGACUUCUCACAGUAUUGAGAAAUGUUUCACAGAUCCAAGUCCUUGUCUUGUUGGUCCAACAGUGCUGUAAGCGGGGAACCUCCAGUGUUUUCCAGUUCACUUCCCUGCAGCAUCUUCAGUUUCUGGCUUUUGCAAUGCAGGCCUUAAUGGCUAGAAAAGGACCCUUGGGUCUUCCAACUCUGACUUCUGCUUUACCUUUAAACAUGGCUAGAUGAGCUAGUCUGAAAUACAACUGAGUUUAAAAUAUUUAUUCCUUUAGAUUUCAGGCCUCUUUGUUUUGUUUUGAAACAAACAAAAUCGUAGUGCUUCAUUGCUACUGGGGUGCUUGUGCCUGAUUUAGAAAUCAUAGCACAGAUGGAAUUGCAACCCACCUUUAGCUUACACCUUCAGUGCUGAGGCUGAAAGACCCAAACUACAUAAACUGUCAAUUUCUUCAGCUGUGUUCGUGGAAACUACAGAAGUUCUGUAAAUCUCCCUCUUGAACUCUUAAACCUUGUAUUGAGGAAGCAUCACACUUGCAGCAAAGGUUAUAGGAGGCAAGGCAAUGCACUGACACAGUAGAAAACCAUUACUGGCUGCAGGGAAAGCACAAUUCUUUUUCUCCCCUGACUUACAGUUAUCAAUGCAUGGGAGAACGUGCAGGUAUCUUAUGUUGCUACCUCACAGCAAGCAAGUGUAGGAGAAUUGGAUAAAAAGAUGAUGUCUUCCAGGGUCUUCUGUAUAUUAAAAAGCUCUGCAUCAGCUUUCCAGAUCAGAUGCUUCCCCUGAUGUUUUGCCCAAGGUGAGUAAGCUUGCUGAGCAGCAUAUCUGAGCUGAGUGGCCCAUGCUUGGAAGUCCCUGAGCCGCAGCCUUGAUAGAACAAAUAGGUUCUACACAGACAGGAAAACUGGCUUUAAUCACCCUUAGUCUCCCAGAGAAUGUCUCAGAUUUUCUUACAAGCUCCUGGUUUCUGAAAUGUCAGCCAGAGGGCUGUCUCCUGUUAUGAAAAUAGAAUUAAGAUAAAUGUCUUACUUCUAAUAAUUUCAAUCUCUAUCAGGUUCCUGAAAUUCUUCUAAUCUCUGCUGAACUUCUCACAAAAGCUCUGGUUUAAUGGCCUUCUUGCUGGCCUUAAGAUCGAUUCUCAGUGUAACUUUCGGACAGUGUUACGGAUUUAAUUUUUCUUAAAAUUCUAACUAAAAUCCUAAUGCAGCUUUGGUAUCAGUGGCAGUUGAGUUUCCUGAGUAUCUGAAAAGAAGUCCUAAAUCAUAUCCAUAAAAAGGAAAACUGCUGUGAUGACUAGCCUCUCAGUUGAAUAGUAACUGAGCAAUAAUCUGCACAUGUUUAUUUCAUUUUGAGCAAUCAGUCUCAUUUUAAUCCUCACUUAAAGGCAGAAUGUGCCCUGCCAAACCACACUCUGGUGGGUUUUAUAGUUUUCCUUAACCUGGGGUCAAAUUGCUAUUACUGCAGGUAUUACUGCAGGUAUUUGGAUCUGAAACUCAAAUUAGAAAAAUUAGAAUAAGAGAGAAUAUGGGAAAGACAAGAAUAAAACAGUAUGAUAAACUCAUAUUCAUCUCUCUGGUGAGGAUAGAAGGAUUUAUACUCUAAUCUCUUUCCUAAAAUAUAGUUAAUCUCCUUUUAGUAAGGCUUAAUAACUCCAAUCAUAUUUUUCAGUGAGGAAAAGUGGCAAAGUUAAUUUAACGCUCUAGUUGUAAAGCUAUUCCCCCUAAUAUUUAUUUUAAAAGCUAUAGACAUUUAACACCUUAGUGACAAAAUGCUUUCUUCCCUUUAAGCAUUAAAGAGAGCCACUGUCUGCAGUGAGCACUGUUCUUGCUGCUGCUGUUUGCAAGGAAUGCUCCUUGUUGGUGCUUGUCUCCUGUAAGACACACCUGUAUCUGGUGGGAUCACUGUGCAGAGCUAUGUGCUGCAAGGCUUUGGUGACCUGUAGAGAGCAGCUCACUUUGCAGGAUGCUCUUGUGCAUUUCAUCUCAUCUCAUCGCUUCCAGGGAAUGCAGAAAACAGGGAGACUCACUGCUCUGCACUGCCUUAGCCAUUGCCCCAGGACUAUUUUCCUUCCUUAUGGCCUAGGUGUAUGCAUACACACAUGUGGAUCCACAUGCUCUUGGACUGUGAUUCUUUAUGAAACGUAUAUAUGUGAGAAAGAACCCACAGCCCAGAAACAGCUGCAAAUGGAAUCAGUUCAAGCACCUUUACUUUGUCACACCACUAAGAAAACAACAUGCUGAAAAAUGUCUCUUCCACCCCAUCACUUUUUAAGCUGUCUUAUCCACCUGCUUCUGAGCUCCCAACCAGCUUGUGCCAAAUAUGGCAAUAAAACCUUUUUUUGCUGUAUCACCCCCAAGGCAGUAGGUAUUUUUCCAUACAACACUGAACCCUGGAAAUUCUGUUUUGUUGCUUUCGAUACUUGUUCAACAAACUAUGGGAAUAUCUGCUUGGUGAAGUUUCUUGCCAUGUUAUCAGGCUUCAACAUUUUCUCAGUGCUUUGCUCCAUUGGCCAAUCUAGUUUUAAACACGCAGGACUGUGAGUGUGCUUAGAAAAAAAAACAACAAAAAUAACAAACAUUCCUAUCAGUUUUGUUAAUUUUCUGAUAA